ACGGCCAUGCCCUGCUGAAUAUACCGGUUCUCGUUAGAACACCGAAGUCAAGUAUCAUUGGGCGCGCUCAGUACCAGACCACCUGGGAACACCGCGUGUCGUUG